UUAGGAAUAUUCGUCAAUGGGGGAAACCCUGAACGAGCAAUGCCGCGUGAAUGAUGACGGUCCUCUGGAUUGUAAAAUUCUGUUGUUAGGGAAGAACGACCUAUAUAGGAAAUGAUAUAGGAGUGACGGUACCUUUCAAGAAAGCUCCGGCUAACUACGUGCCAGCAGCCGCGGUAAUACGUAGGGAGCAAGCGUUAUCCGAAUUUAUUGGGUGUAAAGGGUGUGUAGGCGGUUUAUUAAGUCUAAGGUUUAAGUCCGAAGCUCAACUUCGGUUCGUCUUAGAAACUGAUAGACUUGAGUAUGGUAGAGGCAAGUGGAAUUCCUAGUGUAGCGGUGGAAUGCGUAGAUAUUAGGAGGAACACCAGUGGCGAAGGCGACUUGCUGGGCCAUUACUGACGCU
rnacentral:rRNA from 1 species